rnacentral:rRNA from 1 species
CUCUGUGACUCCUACGGGAGGCAGCAGUGGGGAAUAUUGCACAAUGGGCGCAAGCCUGAUGCAGCCAUGCCGCGUGUAUGAAGAAGGCCUUCGGGUUGUAAAGUACUUUCAGCAGUGAGGAAGGUGGUGCAGUUAAUAGCUGUAUCAUUUGACGUUAGCUGCAGAAGAAGCACCGGCUAACUCCGUGCCAGCAGCCGCGGUAAUACGGAGGGUGCGAGCGUUAAUCGGAAUUACUGGGCGUAAAGCGCAUGCAGGUGGUUUGUUAAGUCAGAUGUGAAAGCCCCGGGGCUCAACCUCGGAAUUGCAUUUGAAACUGGCAGACUAGAGUACUGUAGAGGGGGUAGAAUUUCAGGUGUAGCGGUGAAAUGCGUAGAGAUCUGAAGGAAUACCGGUGGCGAAGGCGGCCCCCUGGACAAAGACUGACGCUCAGAUGCGAAAGCGUGGGGAGCAAACAGGAUUAGAUACCCUGGUAG